AUUGAACGCAGUUGGUCUGCCAGAGAGAGACAAAGGGCAGGGAGAUCUGGAGCCUUCAAUAAAUCCUGUGUGAGGUAUUCCCGAUGUCCCAGACUCAGCAGAAUUCCCAAUUCCUAUCUCGUCCAUCACCACAUUGAAGACAGUUGGUCAGCCAGAGAGAGAUGGAGAGUGAGAUCUGGAGCCUUCAGUAAAUCCUCAGCCGCUUCUGGCAACAAAUGGCCACAAACCGAUCAAAGGUGAAAGUGACGGUGAACCAGACAGAGCAGUCAGUGGCUGCAUAAAGCAGGACGGCGUGGAUAUUACACGUGGGGACGGAGUACACCAGGAAAUAAAACUGUUCCUUAUAAACAAUGGGAAUGUGUCUCAGG